UAGGGAAUCUUCCGCAAUGGGCGAAAGCCUGACGGAGCAACGCCGCGUGAGUGAUGAAGGUCUUCGGAUCGUAAAACUCUGUUAUUAGGGAAGAACAAAUGUGUAAGUAACUAUGCACGUCUUGACGGUACCUAAUCAGAAAGCCACGGCUAACUACGUGCCAGCAGCCGCGGUAAUACGUAGGUGGCAAGCGUUAUCCGGAAUUAUUGGGCGUAAAGCGCGCGUAGGCGGUUUUUUAAGUCUGAUGUGAAAGCCCACGGCUCAACCGUGGAGGGUCAUUGGAAACUGGAGAACUUGAGUGAAGAAGAGGAAAGGGGAAUUCCAUGUGUAGCGGUGAAAUGCGCAGAGAUAUGGAGGAACACCAGUGGCGAAGGCGACUUUCGGGUCUGUAACUGACGCUGAUGUGCGAAAGCGUGGGGAUCAAACAGG
rnacentral:rRNA from 1 species